rnacentral:rRNA from 1 species
AUUGAACGCUGGCGGCAGGCCUAACACAUGCAAGUCGAACGAGUGGCGGACGGGUGAGUAAUGUCUGGGAAACUGCCUGAUGGAGGGGGAUAACUACUGGAAACGGUAGCUAAUACCGCAUACCAUCGGAUGUGCCCAGAUGGGAUUAGCUAGUAGGUGGGGUAACGGCUCACCUAGGCGACGAUCCCUAGCUGGUCUGAGAGGAUGACCAGCCACACUGGAACUGAGACACGGUCCAGACUCCUACGGGAGGCAGCAGUGGGGAAUAUUGCACAAUGGGCGCAAGCCUGAUGCAGCCAUGCCGCGUGUAUGAAGAAGGCCUUCGGGUUGUAAACCGCUUUCAGCCAUGACGCGGUAGUGGCAGAAGAAGCACCGGCUAACUACGUGCCAGCAGCCGCGGUAAUAC